rnacentral:lncRNA from 1 species
AAACAUUCCACUGAGGUGAUUUCUAAAGUCUAAGUAAAGGGAACUAUAAUGAAACCAGAGAUCAAAUUUUGAAAGGCAAAUGGCAAAGAAAGAAGAAAGAUCAUUGCCAUUAGACAGAAAGAAAAGUUGUGUCAACAAGGGCCCAGAGGUUCCAAAUGAGAAAUGUUCACUUCACAGAUUUUAAUUACCUGAAAUCCUUUCUUCCUUAUUGAUUACCAACAGCAAAGUAGCGUUUUGCGUUAACCUUUCAAAAUGUCCAAUUUAAUUUAUGAAUACAAUAUUUUUUCAG